CCUACGGGAGGCAGCAGUGGGGAAUAUUGCACAAUGGGGGGAACCCUGAUGCAGCGACGCCGCGUGAGUGAAGAAGUAUCUCGGGAUGUAAAGCUCUAUCAGCAGGGAAGAAAAUGACGGUACCUGACUAAGAAGCCCCGUCUAACUACGUGCCAGCAGCCGCGGUCAUACGUAGGGGGCAAGCGUUAUCCGGAUUUACUGGGUGUAAAGGGAGCGUAUAGGGUUAUGCAAGUCUGAAGUGAAAGUCUAAGGCUCAACCAUGGGACUGCUGUUGAAACUGUAAAACUGGAGUGCAGGAGAGGUAAGCGGAAUGCCUGGUGUAGCGGUGAAAUGCGUAGAUAUUAGGAGGAACACCAGUGGCGAAGGCGGCUUACUGGACUGUAACUGACGUUGAGGCUCGAAGGCGUGGGGAGCAAACAGGAUUAGAUACCCCGGUAGUC
rnacentral:rRNA from 1 species